GCCGGGUGUGGUGGCGCACACCUGUAAUCCCAGCUACUCGGGAGGCUGAGGCAGGAGAAUCACUUGAACCCGGGGGGCAGAGGUUGCAGUGAGCUGAGAUCACACCACUGCAUUCCAGCCUGGGUGACAGAGCGAGACUCCGUCUCAA
rnacentral:SRP_RNA from 1 species